ensembl:lncRNA
UCUAAGUAUUAGAUGUGAGCCAUCACGAAUUAGAAAUGUUGCCGUUUAUCAGGCAUCAUUAGCAGAAUGUGUUCUCUCCCUCACUCAGCUUAAUAACAGAACUGCAUUUGUGUUCACCCUGAGGAUGGUGUCUGGGAACUUAUCUCUGUAGUAAUUCACUUUCUUGGCUUUGGGGAUAGCUGGAUCUGGCAGGCAUUAGAGAGAUGCUAAAGGAUUCAUGAAAGUCCAUUAGCAUUUUAAAGCCAUCCCAGUCCCUUGGAAUCAUCUCCUUUCCAGAUCAGUCUGUGAUGGGUACAGUAAGGCAGGUGUUUUGUGAUAGAUGUACUGUCAGAGGAGAGCAACUUGCCAGGAAAUAAAAUCUGGUGUACAGAAAGUGUUUCUGGCUUGAUACAACCAGGAACUUACUGCUGUGGCAUCACAAUAAAAAGGAGUUUUGCUACCAAGGCUUUCUGAAAAGGCUGGAUUUGGAGAGAAGAGAGCCAUAUCCAAGGUCUGGGGCCUCUUGUGGUAACACACUGGCUGCAGGGAGGACAGGACAAGGAAGAGCAAUGAGGGAAGGAUCUGACAUGGAUCAGUUUCUGCAACAUCUAUCUGUAGCAUUCUGUUUCCUAACUUUGGCAUCACACAUUUUAUCACAGUGAAGGAACCCUCGGACCCUGCCUCACUCCUCAGAUUUGAACUUAGGACUAUUUCUUUUUUGUUAGUCAAGGGAUAGCUUUAUGACCUAUUCAGCAAAUGAGAUAUGAAGAAAGUUCUGGAACUCACCAAGAAGUUUUUGUUCCUGGGUACAUGAGCUUUGGGAGAAAUAAGUCAUCUACCUAGAACAGUAUCUUAGAACUGUGGUAUAGCUGAUAGAUACCAAGUACAAAGCUCAACACCACAGGUCAGUAGCUCUGACCCUCCUCCUUGGCAGCUGGAGGUUAAACCACCAUCACAAUGACACAGUAACUAUCCAAGCCACCAUCACAAUGGUGCAGUAACUAUCCAAGCCAGGUUGUCAAGUAUCUACUUCAGGGAAAACAAGGAUCAUCAUUGUCCUUCAGCCUGGAAAAGUAACACUACCCAGACCAAAAAUUUGGGGGAAGCUGCCCAAAUGUCCAAGAGUACACGAGAUGCCAUCAUCAUAUUUGGAUGUGAGACUCGUUUUGAUGGUGGCUUUGACUUUAUUUAGACUCCUUGGAUUGUGCAAAGAAAAGGAGCCCAGACACAGACUUUUGUGAGAAGAAAAGGACCUUAAGAAAACAGGGAACUAUAAAAACAGCAAACGUGAAUGUUCCAAAGAUGGUUGAAAUAUAGACAGGAUGUGACAUCAGCUAACUGCCCAACCAAGAUUAGGAGCUGUCGAGUCAGAUACCAUCAAUGAGUAUUCUACAGUCACUACAUGAGGAAGAAACACAAAUCUUAGUAGAGAAACAGCAGACAUCUUGAUGACCUUGUAUAAUCCAAGAAUAGACUUGUAUAACUAGAAUAGACUUGUAUAAACCAAGAAUAUACACUUGUAUGAACCAAGAUACACCUGUAUCAGAAUAGAUUUUAUAUGAGCCAAGAAUAGACUUGAAUGAGGUGAAAGAAACUAGAAACAAAAGAAUUUUCUUUGUAAGAUUCCUCACCCAGCCCAUUUAGGGUUUAAGUACCAAUUUG